rnacentral:rRNA from 1 species
AUGAAGCUCGUCGGAAAAAGCCUCGCCCGAGACGGGCCCGGCUCCGUUAAGCUGCUACCGGAGGUGGAUGAUGACCUGUGGGACGCGUACAACCUCAUCGCCGCCGGCGACGCCGUCGAGGCCGUCACGGUCCGGAAGAUCACCAAGUCCUGGGGCCGCGACUCGGAGCGCGUGAAGCUGACUCUCGAGGUCGCGGUCGAGUCCACGGACUACGAUAAGGACGGCUCCGUCCUACGCGUCCGCGGCAAGAACCUUAGCAAGAACGAGCACGUCCAGAUCGGCCAGUACCAUACCCUGGAAAUCGAGCUGCGGAGGCCCUUCGUCCUCCGCAAGGAGGCCUGGGACUGGCCGGCGCUCGACACCAUCCACAAAUCCUGCGACGAGACUGCCGCCAACGCCGACCUCGCCGUGCUCCUCAUGCAGGAAGGCCUCGCCCACCUCUUCCUCGUCGGCCGGAGCGUCACGGCCACCAGAGCGCGCGUCGAGGUGCCCAUCCCCAGGAAGCACGGCUCCAGCUCCGGCGCCGUCGCCGCGUACGACACCGCCCUCAGGGACUUCUUCCACCGCGUCCUGGCCGCCUUCGUGCACCACGUCGACUUCGGCCUCGUCCAGUGCGUGGUGAUCGCGAGCCCGGGCUUCACCAAGGACCAGUUCCGCGACUACAUGCUCCUGGAGGCCGCGCGGCGAGGGGACCUGCGCGCCAUCACGGAGCACAAGGCGCGCAUCGUCCUCGCGCCCGCGCCCUCGGGCUACCCGCACAGCCUCAAGGACGUCCUCGCCGCCCCGACCGUCAUGUCGCUGAUAAAGGACACGAGGGCAGCGCAGGAGGUGCCGGCGCUGCAGGAGUUCUUCGCCAUGAUCGCCAAGGACUCGGCACGGGCUUGCUACGGGCCCAAGCACGUCGAGGUCGCGCAUGAACGCCUCGCCAUCCAGACUCUCCUGCUCACGGACACUUGGUUCCGGAACCCCGACGUUGCUGCUAGGCGCAAAUGCGUCGAUUUGGCCGAAUCGGUGAAGAAGAUCGGUGGCAAAGUGUGCGUCUUAUCGUCCAUGCAUGUCUCUGGUGAUCAGCUCGAGCAGCUCACGGGGAUAGCCGCGGUUCUUCGUUUUCCCAUGCCUGAUCUCGACGACAUCGAGAUGUGA